GGUGGGUUUGUAAGUCCGUCUGUGAAAUCCCUCGGCUUAACCGAGGAACUGCAGCGGAUACUGCAGGACUGGAGUUCAGGAGGGGAGAGUGGAAUUCCUGGUGGAGCGGUGAAAUGCGUAGAUAUCAGAAGGAACGCCGGCGGCGAAAGCGAUUCUCUGGCCUAUUACUGACACUCAGUGUGCGAAAGCUAGGGGAGCAAACGGGAUUAGAUACCCCGGUAGUCCUGGCCCUAAACGAUGGGCACUAAGUAGAGGGGUUU
rnacentral:rRNA from 1 species